UGUCCUGUGGCUUUUUUGGUUAAAGCACUGGUCUAGCGAAUACGGAGUCGUGGGUUCCAAUCCCACCAGAACCU
rnacentral:tRNA from 1 species